AGAGUUUGAUCAUGGCUCAGGAUGAACGCUGGCGGUAUGCUUAACACAUGCAAGUCGAACGGAACUCUUUGGAGUUUAGUGGCGGACGGGUGAGUAACGCGUGAGAAUCGGCCCUCAGGUUGGGGACAACCACUGGAAACGGUGGCUAAUACCGAAUAAGCCGAAAGGUGAAAGAUUAAUUGCCUGGGGAAGAGCUCGCGUCUGAUUAGCUAGUUGGUGGGGUAAAGGCCUACCAAGGCACCGAUCAGUAACUGGUCUGAGAGGAUGGCCAGUCACACUGGGACUGAGACACGGCCCAGACUCCUACGGGAGGCAGCAGUGGGGAAUUUUCCGCAAUGGGCGAAAGCCUGACGGAGCAAUACCGCGUGGGGGAGGAAGGCUCUUGGGUCGUAAACCUCUUUUCUCAGGGAAGAACAAAAUGACGGUACCUGAGGAAUCAGCAUCGGCUAACUCCGUGCCAGCAGCCGCGGUAAUACGGAGGAUGCAAGCGUUAUCCGGAAUGAUUGGGCGUAAAGCGUCCGCAGGUGGCAGUGUAAGUCUGCUGUCAAAGGUCAGGGCUCAACCCUGAACAGGCAGUGGAAACUACACAGCUAGAGUGCGGUGGGGGCAGAGGGAAUUCCCAGUGUAGCGGUGAAAUGCGUAGAGAUUGGGAAGAACACCGGUGGCGAAAGCGCUCUGCUAGGCCGCAACUGACACUCAUGGACGAAAGCUAGGGGAGCGAAUGGGAUUAGAUACCCCCGUAGUCC
rnacentral:rRNA from 1 species